rnacentral:rRNA from 1 species
UACUCGAGUGGCGAACGGGUGAGUAACACGUGGGUGAUCUGCCCUGCACUCUGGGAUAGGCCUGGGAAACUGGGUCUAAUACCGGAUAGGACCAUGCUUUAGUGUGUGUGGUGGAAAGUUUUUUCGGUGUAGGAUGAGCCCGCGGCCUAUCAGCUUGUUGGUGGGGUAAUGGCCUACCAAGGCGGCGACGGGUAGCCGGACUGAGAGGUUGGUCGGCCACAUUGGGACUGAGAUACGGCCCAG